CAUAAAAAGAUGGUCUCAUGCAAUUGCUUACCUACGUGGAAUGCUUUCUCAAGUGACAUGAAUGCAAGUGUAUUGAAGGAGACAGAAGACAAGAUGUGUUACAAUUCAGUAUGAGGAUAAUAUAUUAAUUUUAAGGCUCAUAUAGGUAGUUAUAAACUUAAUCCACCAUCUGCUCUUUAUGAAUCCUGUCAAAACCUUCAGGUUAAUAUAGCAAUAAUAGCUUUGUUUCUUUCUUAUAGUCAUGUCUGUAAGGAAUUCAGCACAGGUUUCUUCUUAUCUGCCACCAUGAAUAAGGGAGGAAACAAUUAAAGAAUUACUCUCUAUCAUGAGAAAGAUGACAUUGGAAAACCUUCACAACAGCUACUGUCACAGAAAGUGAUGACAGUAAUUACAAUCAGCCCAAAAUUGUUUUCUUACAGACACAUUAGUUUCAGAAUUAGAAUUGAUUAAUUCUUGAAAUUCACCUGGAGUAAAACUUAGCCUUCAAAGAGUGAGCUGGGCUUUCUCAGAAUUAGUAAAUAAAAAGGGUAGAAUAUGUUAGUUUAGAAGGAACAAAGACCACUCUCAGUGAUUAGAAAUUGUUCAUCUGAGAGUUAGCAGAUAUCGUAUUAAUUUUCUACUUUAUAUGCAUGUUGUUUCGAAGCAGAUGAACUAAGUAAUUUAGAAGACAAACUAACCAAGCCUCCUCUAACAAAAUCUCCCAUUUAAGAACAAAAUUGGGUACACAAUAAAAUAUACAGUCUGAUCUUACAUAGUGUCCUUUCUCAGAAUUUUCAAAGGCUGAAUUAUCACCUGUGUAGUCCGUACAUUAAGUAUUGCAAUCAUCAGCCCAUGGAUUGGAGAGUACAAGUUACUCAUUACCAAAUUACAAAGCAACUUUUAUUAUGGCUUACAUGAAGAAAAUUAACAUUAUCACUCUCCUGCCUAUUCUAGUGACCUUUUCCCCAUUCAGAAAUGUGUUAAAGCUCACCCUGUAGACCAAUAUUUUUUUUUUUUCUAUUAUAUGAUUGUACCUGAGUGUUCUUCUGGAUGAAAAGGACCACACUGGCAUGGUGGUGAAAGCCUAUUUCCUAAGUUCUGGAAAUACCAGAUGUCAUUCUCAUUGAAAAUAUUCAUCUCCUUGGAAAUUAACAUUGUAAAUGGCGCUAAGAAAUCCUGUGUUAUGGACCAAACAACACAGCAAUAGAUGCCACUUCAGUCCAUUACUUAAACCAACGAACAGAUUGAUACAGGAAAAAUGUGAUUUGUUCAGAAAAUUCACUUCCACAAUACAAGCAUGGCUGCACUGUCAAAUUUACAACCUUGUUUGUAUCAUAGAUCACAUAUAUCUCUGCUGGGUUUGGCUGUGGCAGAGUUAAUUUCCUUCAUGGUAUCUAGUGUGGGGCUAUGGUUUGUGUUUGUACUGAAAACUGUAUUGGUUACACAAGGAUGCUUCUGUUACUGUUGACCUGUGCUUCCACAGAGUCAAGGUCCUUUCUGCUUCUCGUCCCACCCCACCAAUGAGCAAGCUGGAGGUGUAUGAGAAGUUUGGAGCAGGCACAGCUGCAACAGUUGAUCCCCAAUGACCAAAGGAAUAUUCCAGCUCUUAUGACGUCUGCUUAUCAUAUAAAACUGGGGACUAAAGGAUAAAAUUACAGACAUUCAGAGUGAUGGUUUUCAUCUUCCCAGGUAAUGAUUACAUGUUCUUCAGUUUUUCUGGAGAUUGCUGAACACCUGCUUGCAAGUGGGAAGUAGUGAAUUAAUUCCUUGGUUUGCUUUGAUUGUGUGUGGAACUUUUUGCUUUAACUAUCAAACCAUCUUUAUGUCAACCCAUGAAUUUUCUCACUUCUACUCUUCAAAUUCUCUACCCCAUCCAGUUGUGGGAGGACUGACCAAGCACCUGUGUGCUGCUUGGUUGCCAGCUGGAGGGUUUAUUUGUUUGUUAUUGCAGAGCUGAAAUGAUGGUCCACAUAAAAGUACCCUGGGUAUACAAAUUCCCUAUGUGUAGGUAGAAUGUGUAAUACUAAAAUAAACUUCAACAUUUCAGUGUGGUAAACUCCAUUAAGAAACAAAA